AAGCGUUUAUGACCAGACUUGGGCUUGGUUAAUCAUCUGGGGUUCUCCCCAGUGCACUUUUCCAGUCCAGGCCAGCAUCAGUUUUCCCCGGGGGAUAAAGGCGGCGGGAAUGUGGCUCUCUUCGGGGAGUGUUAUAGCCCCGAGUGUCAUGCGGCCUCCCGGGACCGAGGAACGCGCUUCGGCUCGGAUGUUGGCGUAAUGGU
rnacentral:rRNA from 1 species